GCCAGGCGCAGUGGUGCACACCUGUAAUCCCAGCAGCUUGGGAGGCUGAGGCAGGAGGAUCAUGAGCUCAAAGCCAGCCUCGGCAACAGCAAUGCACUAAGCAAGUCAGUGAGAUCCUGUCUCUA
rnacentral:sRNA from 1 species